rnacentral:rRNA from 1 species
AGAGCGAACGCUGGCGGCGUGCUUAACACAUGCAAGUCGAACGCGCAGCAGUUUGUAGCAAUACAGAUUGUGGGCGCGUGGCGAACGGGUGCGUAACACGUGGAUAACCUUCCUUCAGGUGGGGAAUAACCCAGUGAAAAUUGGGCUAAUACUGCAUAACAUGACGAUGGCUCAUGCCGUUGUCUUCAAAGGCGCAAGUCGCCAGAAGAGGGAUCCGCGGCCGAUUAGCUAGUUGGCGAGGUAAUGGCUCACCAAGGCAUUGAUCGGUA